CUCCUACGGGUGGCAGCAGUGGGGAAUUUUGGACAAUGGGCGCAAGCCUGAUCCAGCCAUGCCGCGUGCAGGAUGAAGGCCUUCGGGUUGUAAACUGCUUUUGUACGGAACGAAAAGACUCUGGUUAAUACCUGGGGUCCAUGACGGUACCGUAAGAAUAAGCACCGGCUAACUACGUGCCAGCAGCCGCGGUAAUACGUAGGGUGCGAGCGUUAAUCGGAAUUACUGGGCGUAAAGCGUGCGCAGGCGGUUAUGUAAGACAGAGGUGAAAUCCCCGGGCUCAACCUGGGAACUGCAUUUGUGACUGCAUAGCUAGAGUACGGCAGAGGGGGAUGGAAUUCCGCGUGUAGCAGUGAAAUGCGUAGAUAUGCGGAGGAACACCGAUGGCGAAGGCAAUCCCCUGGGCCUGUACUGACGCUCAUGCACGAAAGCGUGGGGAGCAAACAGGAUUAGAUACCCUGGUAGUCCAC
rnacentral:rRNA from 1 species